AAUGGCGGCUUCACUAUCCAUACAGGCUGCCAGCUGGUAACGUCUAGUGGAGUGCCGGUGUAAAAAUGUAAUGAAUGGCGUUAUAUCGGACAACAUAGCCAGCCCCAAAAGCCCGGCUUAUGACUCUGGUGGUACUGAACUUGAUAUAUUUGAUACGCAAGGCACCCUUCAAGGAGGAAGGAUGAUCAAGCUGAAGAUAGCCUCAAGAAGGAUUAAACUUAGCUGUAACAAUUAGGUGACUAAAUUGGAAACUUGAGCACUUGGUAAAUACACCUUGGCUUGCAAUUCUGAUGAUUAAAGUUUGCUGGGGGUAAUUGAAAUUUGUCAUUCCCCGUGCAGGAAUAUUCCACAUGACCUGUAAAGUCCUACGCUCUGAGACAACUUUAGAAAAAUGCAUUUGUGUUGGUAGAAGUAUUGUAAGUACAGUACAACCUAGUAACAAAAAUUAAUAAUUUCCUGUAAGCAUGGAUGUUUGAGAGAAAUUAUGGUGGUAGUUGACCCUUUUUUGUUAGAAUGCAUAGGGUCUGAUGAUUGUAAUGUACUAUAUCUUUUAGCCUUCAAACUUUCAACUUUGUAUUAAUUGUAACUGUUUACCAUAUCUAUUUUUCUGUAACUUAAGCCCUCAAAAGUUGAAGUAGGUGAGUCAAUAACCUGUCUUCCUUUGUUUGGAAUUGUGUGAUUAUAUAACUUUGCUGUGUAAGUUACCACAUUGUAACAUGCAAUAUUAUUACUUACAUUGCAUUAAAUACUCUUGCUCAAGCUUUCAUUAAUGCAUGGUGUUUCUUACCAAUGCUCAUAGCCAAACUAAAUAUCGAUAUAAGGAAUUGGUCACAAGAUAUGUGAGUUUUAAAUGGUGGGAAUCUAGAAAAGCAAGCAUCCUCCUUUAAUUAGGACUGAAAUUAAUUGGGACCCUCCUAUUUUGAUUUGUGUUUUUACUUAAACCUGCCUCCUCCCAUGUAAUGUUUAGGGCACAUAGAUGAAGAGAGCAUUUUUGUAUUUUGAUCCAUGAAAGUUAGAUUAAUUGGUGUCCACAUAAUGUACAAAGCAAGAAUAUGAAUGCCUUAGCUUUAAAGGUUAAAAAAUUAAAAUAAGAGAGUUGCAUAGACCAUAUCUUAAUUUUUAUUCUUCUUUGGAUAUUUAUCCUAGUAACAUAAUCACUAUCAGUUUCAUUCACUCUCACUUUCCACUGAGCUUGUGGAAAGAUAAGAAGUUCAUUAUUUCUCUAAAUGAAGAAAGGAAAGCCUACCCUCUUACCACAGAUAAUUCUUUUGGGAAUAAUCUGUACAUACGUGGUCUAAUUUGUACAUGAUGGUGAUUGUUCGGCUAACCUUGAAAAUUAGUUGUGAAAAUUUCUUGAACCUGUCAUCAUAUGAAUGUUUGACUCAAUUUUACCUCACUAACCAACAUGAUUUAAAUUGAAUACGUAGAAACUUGAAAUUUAUUUGUUCUCCUUUUGAGGUGUGCAUCAAAAUUUAGAAGUCAUUGAGGCUAGAACUACAGGUUUAGAGAAAAUCUGCAUGUGUUUUCAACGCAUAAAACAGGGGUUAUGAUACUUCAAAUGACUUUACUACAUGCUGCACAUGUACAGGCAAGUGUUGAAAAAAGUUUGCCAAGCUUUUUCAAUAGUAUACAUUUCUUUUUCUAAGAAUCAUGUUCAUCUAGCCUGUGCUGAAUUCUAAUUUUUCAACCAAUUUUCUUUUCUAUUAAAUAUUCUUAGAUCUCCUAGUAUCAGUUAAUAUUCAUGUAAUUAAAAUAAUUACAUGAGAUCUUACAGAUGUAUGGCACAUUUUUUCCUCUGA